UGAGUGAGAGAUAGAGGAGGCCGGGCAGAUACACGGCGCCCCAUUGUGAGCCUGUGAUUGAGUGAGUGAGUGAGAUCCUGAGUGAGAUCAUGAGUGAGUGAGAUCAUGAGUGAGAUCAUGAGUGAGUGAGAUCAUGAGUGAGUGAGAUCGUGACUGAGAUCAUGAGUCUGUGAGUGAGAUCAUGAGUGAGUGAGAUCAUGAGAUCGUGAGUGAGAUGAUGAGUCUGAGUGAGAUCGUGAGUCUGUGAGUGAGAUAGUGAGUGAGACUGAGUGAGAUCAUGAGUCUGUGAGAUAGUGAGCAAGUGAGUGAGAUCGUGAGUCUGUGAGUGAGUGAAAUCAUGAGUGAGAUCGUGAGCCUGUGAGAUUGUGAGUGAGAUUGUGAGUCUGUGAGUAAGUGAAAUCAUGAGUGAGUGAGUGAGUGAGUCUGAGUGAGAGACCCUCCUCUAGGAUCGAGGAGAACAGGAGCAGAAAGAAGAGCUGGAGGUGCUCCUCAGCAAGCACGGCCCCGAGAGCCAGAGGGGUGCACCCCACCUGGCCCACAGUCGCUGCUGGGAUAAAUUAUGAAGCAGCCUACGGAAGGCAGAGGCAGCUCUGGAGGCAGGCGAGGAGCCCGU
rnacentral:lncRNA from 1 species